AGUGAACGCUGGCGGUAGGCCUAACACAUGCAAGUCGAACGGCAGCACAGGAGAGCUUGCUCUCUGGGUGGCGAGUGGCGGACGGGUGAGGAAUACAUCGGAAUCUACCUUUUCGUGGGGGAUAACGUAGGGAAACUUACGCUAAUACCGCAUACGACCUUCGGGUGAAAGCAGGGGACCUUCGGGCCUUGCGCGGAUAGAUGAGCCGAUGUCGGAUUAGCUAGUUGGCGGGGUAAAGGCCCACCAAGGCGACGAUCCGUAGCUGGUCUGAGAGGCUGUGCAGACACACUGGAACUGAGACACGGUCCAGACUCCUACGGGAGGCAGCAGUGGGGAAUAUUGGACAAGGGGCGCAAGCCUGAUCCAGCCAGGCCGCGUGGGUGAAGAAGGCCUUCGGGUUGUAAAGCCCUUUUGUUGGGAAAGAAAAGCAGCCAGUUAAUACCUGGUUGUUCUGACGGUACCCAAAGAAUAAGCACCGGCUAACUUCGUGCCAGCCGCCGCGGUAAAAC
rnacentral:rRNA from 1 species